rnacentral:rRNA from 1 species
UACGGGAGGCAGCAGUGGGGAAUAUUGCACAAUGGGCGCAAGCCUGAUGCAGCCAUGCCGCGUGUAUGAAGAAGGGCCUUCGGGUUGUAAAGUACUUUCAGUCGUGAGGAAGGUGUUAAGGUUAAUAACCUUAGCAAUUGACGUUAGCGACAGAAGAAGCACCGGCUAACUCCGUGCCAGCAGCCGCGGUAAUACGGAGGGUGCGAGCGUUAAUCGGAAUUACUGGGCGUAAAGGGCACGCAGGCGGUUAAUUAAGUUGGAUGUGAAAUCCCCGGGCUUAACCUGGGAAUGGCAUUCAAGACUGGUUAGCUAGAGUCUUGUAGAGGGGGUAGAAUUCCAUGUGUAGCGGUGAAAUGCGUAGAGAUGUAGAGGAAUACCGGUGGCGAAGGCGGCCCCUGGACAAAGGCUGACGCUCAUGUGCGAAAGCGUGGGGAGCAAACAGGGAUUAGAUACC